rnacentral:rRNA from 1 species
UACGGAGGGUGCAAGCGUUAUCCGGAUUUACUGGGUUUAAAGGGUGCGUAGGCGGCCAUGUAAGUCAGGAGUGAAAGUUUGCGGCUCAACCGUAAAAUUGCUUUUGAUACUGCAUGGCUGGAAUCAGGAUGAGGUCAGCGGAAUGUGGCAUGUAGCGGUGAAAUGCAUAGAUAUGCCAUAGAACACCAAUUGCGAAGGCAGCUGGCUAGACCUGUAUUGACGCUGAGGCACGAAAGCGUGGGGAGCGAACAGG